rnacentral:rRNA from 1 species
UGGGGUGACUGCGUACCUUUUGUAUAAUGGGUCAGCGACUUAUAUUCUGUAGCAAGGUUAACCGAAUAGGGGAGCCGAAGGGAAACCGAGUCUUAACUGGGCGUUAAGUUGCAGGGUAUAGACCCGAAACCCGGUGAUCUAGCCAUGGGCAGGUUGAAGGUUGGGUAACACUAACUGGAGGACCGAACCGACUAAUGUUGAAAAAUUAGCGGAUGACUUGUGGCUGGGGGUGAAAGGCCAAUCAAACCGGGAGAUAGCUGGUUCUCCCCGAAAGCUAUUUAGGUAGCGCCUCGUGAAUUCAUCUCCGGGGGUAGAGCACUGUUUCGGCAAGGGGGUCAUCCCGACUUACCAACCCGAUGCAAACUGCGAAUACCGGAGAAUGUUAUCACGGGAGACACACGGCGGGUGCUAACGUCCGUCGUGA